rnacentral:rRNA from 1 species
UACGUAGGGGGCGAGCGUUGUCCGAAGUUACUGGGCGUAAAGCGCGCGUAGGCGGUUCUCUAAGUCUGAGGUGAAAGGUUCGGCGCUCAACGUGAACAGUGCCUUGGAGACUGGGGGACUUGAGUGUGGGAGGGGGCAGUGGAAUUCCGGGUGUAGCGGUGAAAUGCGUAGAUAUCCGGAGGAACACCGAUGGCGAAGGCAGCUGCCUGGCCUAACACUGACGCUGAGGUGCGAAAGCGUGGGGAGCGAACGGG